rnacentral:snoRNA from 1 species
AUUUGAUGGUGUGGGCAACUUGCACAAAGUUUCUUGAAACGUUCCCAAUAUUCAUACAAUGACUCUCCAUUGUUUUGUCUUAUACCACAGAUUUCCUUUCUAAUGUU